rnacentral:misc_RNA from 1 species
UCGUAUUUUUACAUAGCAUAUAAUGUGAAAAUUGCAGCGGGAGGAAAUAAGCGUUUCAUAAUGGCAGCGAUGGCGAGUUCGAAACGAUCUUCAGUUAGCUCUUUAUCGUCUGAAUUUAUUUGGAAGGAAAUUAACAUUCCGAAACAGUUGAACAAACAAGUUCUCAGAACACUUUUAAAGACGAUAAGUGACAAAGAUGUUAAAUCAUCUGAUUUUCUUGAAGAUGUAGAGCCUGUUAUCAGUUCCUUGAUAGUGUUUCUGUGGUCUGAAACAACACGACCUUUGGAACGCCAUCUUGCCAUAACUAUUUUGCAAAAGUUAGCACCACACCCAAGUAUAUCUGAAGUUGUGUCGACAGCUACUGUCAAUCAGCUGAUCGAAGUUCUUCCAGUUUUAAUAGCACAGACAGAAGACUUGGAAGAUUAUAAAAGAUGGCUGGAUAAACUCAUUGGGUACAUAAACACAAAGGAAGUAAGCCUUCAAGACCAGAGAAGAAUUCAAACUUUCCUAACCUGUGCCAUCUCUAUGCAUCCAAAGCUAUUCCACAUUGAAGACAUAAAAACAAUUCUACAGCAAGCUCCUUGUUGGCUGAAGGAAGCAGCCAUUGUUUCUGCACGAAAGACAGCAUCCUCUCUAAAAAAGUCUGCCUUGCCUUCGGCAGUCACAGAACUUGAUGGUGUGCCUUCAUCAGAAUUCUUCACUGUUCUCAGCUAUGCCCAUUAUAACACAAUUGACCAACUUCUGAAUAUUCAAACAUUUUCAAUGCUGAGAACCUGGUUGCUUAGUGUCUGUAGAGACCAUCAGGGGGCAGUAAUAGAGAAACAUUCAUGUCCACAUUUGGGUGAAGUACUUUCUGUUGAGAUUUCUGGAAGCAUUAAAGACUACUGUAUACGAAUUGUGGACCAGAGUGAUCGAAAUCCCCAAGAUCCAGAGAAUGUUGAUAUUCAAAAAGCUUGCCUGGUAGAGGCAGUGUCUCUUCUGGAUAUAUUGUGUCAAGCAGAUUCGUCUCUGGUCCUGUCAGUUGUUCCAACCAUCAGGAGAAUUUAUGACCGGCUGUAUGCACAGGGCACCACUCUGGUUAAUCUUGGAAAUGUUUCAGUUUUAUGUUCUGUGGUUCAGUUCUUCCUACAUCACAGUUCUGCUAUAAUUCACAAAUUGGAUGACGUUUAUGUCUUCUUGUUCCGUGACCUUCUUCCUCAUAUUUGUAAAGACAGCUUUACCGCUUGUGAAAUGGUUUUUCUCAUUGAGAACAAUUUAUCUCAGCUCUGCUACCAGACAAGUAUCCUAGAAAAGUUCUUCCCUAACAUUCUGAAGAUCUUGGCAUGGAGCCCAUCGUUAUUCCAAUGUCAUUUUAUUCAAAUUCUUCCAGCCUUUCUGUCACAACAAACUUGUAUUGAAGUGUUUCACACACUGCUUGACCUACCUUGUCUUACAGUAGCCCUGAUACUGAAUUUCCUUAGUGAUUAUAAGGGUGAACACAUUGAGGCACAGAUUGCAAAGUACAGCAUGACCUCUAAAGAUAUUGACCUUUAUGCUGAUCCAAGUUUUCAACCUAUGUUUCAGUUUUUCUUACGAACAACAAGUGGUGUUGGUGACACUUUCAAUCGUAUUGGUGAUUUCCAUGAUGCUCUUUGUCGAAAUACAACCCACCCACAAGUUCUCUACUGUGCUGAAGCAGUCAUUCCUCUGUUGAGCUGUUUUUUUGACACCUUCCUCCAGUUUGCUGAUACUUCAUUGGUUGCUUCUCUUCUUCCUGUUCUCAUAGAAAGGACCUUGAUUCUGUACCCAGUGGAGGGUUACAUUGAAAAAGUCCAAAGAAUGAUGUCAGAAAAUGUUAUCAAACUUAUAUCUCUUCAUCCUGAUGUCCUGGUCCACCUUCAAGAAGAAAUAGGAGAGUUCUAUAGCCACAUCAAAAACUUCAGUUAUUCUUCUGAAUUCUUUAUAAGCUUGGUCUGGACUAUUGGAGAAUAUGUCAGUCAGACGUACAGUGGGCUGUGUAAGCCUGAAAUAAUAACAACUUACUAUGAAGGGCUGGAGUACGUACCUUAUGAGUUGGUUGGAUCCCAUGAGCUGUCUGUUUCACAUUUCAGGUUAAUGAAUAUUACUGUGACAACUCUUGCAAAGGAACAAGAUGUCAAGACCUGCUUCCAAGGGUUAUUCUGUGCUUAAGUAAAGUCAGAAAACAGCUUCUGCUAUCUAAGGAAGAAGAGGAAAAAUACCACAAGAUAAGAGGGAUAGUUGUGGAAAGGAUUUCUGAACUUCUGGCCAUCUUGCAGAUUCCAAAUGCAGCCUCAGUGGUUUUGAAUCCAUCAAAGGAUCUGGAAUCUGGAAG